GUGCGAUAACUAGUGUGAAUUGCAUAUUCAGUGAAUCAUCGAGUCUUUGAACGCAUCUUGCACCUGCUGGUAUUCCAGCAGGUACGCCUGUUUCAGUAUCAGAAACAACUCUUCCCCUAAGAUUUUUUUGAAUCAUAGGGGGACAUUGAGGGUAUCUGGCUUAGAAGUAAAAUCUCUAGCCCGGAGACGCUUUAAAUGACUUAAGGCCUGCAAGCCAAAGUUUGAUUGCGCCUGAACUUUUUCUUAAUUUCAAGCGAAAGCUCUUGCGAACUAGAACUUUAUUAUUGCCUUGGGGGCCUCCCAAAGAAAACUUUCAACAACUUGAUCUGAAAUCAGGUGGGAUUACCCGCUGAACUUAA
rnacentral:misc_RNA from 1 species